UCCCAGCUGUAAACGAUGCGGGCUAGGUGUUAGGGUGGCUACGAGCCACUCUAGUGCCGCAGCGAAGGCAUUAAGCCCGCCGCCUGGGGAGUACGGCCGCAAGGCUGAAACUUAAAGGAAUUGGCGGGGGAGCACCACAAGGCGUGAAGCGUGCGGUUUAAUUGGAGUCAACACCGGAAACCUUACCGGGGGCGACAGCAGGUUGAAGGCCAGAUUGACGAUCUUGCCAGACAAGCUGAGAGGAGGUGCAUGGCCGUCGCCAGUUCGUGCCGUGAGGUGUCCUGUUAAGUCAGGCAA
rnacentral:rRNA from 1 species